rnacentral:rRNA from 1 species
AUUAAACGCUGGCGGCAUGCCUUACACAUGCAAGUCGAACGGUAGCGCGGGGCAACCUGGCGACGAGUGGCGAACGGGUGAGUAAAAGCAUCGGAACGUGCCCUGGAAUGGGGGAUAACGUAGCGAAAGUUACGCUAAUACCGCAUAUUCUGUGAGCAGGAAAGCAGGGAUCGCAAGACCUUGCGUUCUGGGAGCGGCCGAUGUCGGAUUAGCUGGUUGGUGGGGUAAAAGCCUACCAAGGCGACGAUCCGUAGCGGGUCUGAGAGGAUGAUCCGCCACACUGGGACUGAGACACGGCCCAGACUCCUACGGGAGGCAGCAGUGGGGAAUUUUGGACAAUGGGCGGAAGCCUGAUCCAGCCAUGCCGCGUGAGUGAAGAAGGCCUUC